ACCUGCCGUCUACUCUUGGACAGCCUUCUGAAAGGAAGAUUAAUACAAGAUGGCAUCAUGAGUUCACAUGUUCACAUGAUUAAAGGUAUUCCGGUAGACGAUGGGGAUGCGUUCCAUUAGAUAGUAGGCGGGGUAACGGCCCACCUAGUCUUCGAUGGAUAGGGGUUCUGAGAGGAAGGUCCCCCACAUUGGAACUGAGACACGGUCCAA
rnacentral:rRNA from 1 species